CCUAAACGUCCUACAACCCCAUAAAUGCAACGCUCUGCAGCUUGACACAUUUAAAGUUUGGGCUACUCCCUUUUCGCUCGCCACUACUAAGGGAAUCUCUUUGAUUUCUUUUCCUCAGGGUACUUAGAUGGUUCACUUCCCCUGGUAUCGCCUCUAUUAUUUAAAUAAUAGAUAGCUAGCAUCUUGCUAGCUGGAUUACUCCAUUCGGUAAUCUUGGGAUCAAUAAAUGUUUGCUUCUCCCCCAAGCUUUUCGCAGCUUACCACGACCUUCUU
rnacentral:rRNA from 1 species